UUCACUUCUUAUUUUAGCGUCGCACUCGUUACAUAUUAAAUUUCUUAAUUUUAAUUUUUUAUUUUAUAUUUAUCUAACGCAACUUCUUAAAUAUUAAGUGUAUUUUUUAUGGACAUAAGCGGUUUGCCUUUUAAUUUUAAUAUAAAAACAACUAAUAAUAAUACUUAUUAAGUAAUGCCUAUAACAUUGAUACUGCUUCAUUAAUAUAAAUAUAAAUAUGUGCUGCAAUAAUCACGAGCUCCUCGAAGUAACCUUCCCCGGACUACGAGCUGGAGACCACGGACAACUGGUCGGAGCUUGCUGAAUAGAUGGAACCGCGCGAGAAGUACCAGCAGCUCUCGAAUAUAAGAAGAAACAUCAGGAUCAGUUCGCGGCAAGAAUAAUUUUGAGAUUUUAGGCGCGAGUUGGAUCACAUUCCGGAGGCUGCCUUCUACAUGGUGGGCACCAUAGAGGACGUGAUCGCCAAGUCGCAGGAACUCGCCAAAAGCGUGUAGAGUCGAACUGUUUUAUAAGUUAUUUUAUUCGAAUAAAGAUGUUGUAUUU